GGCGAGUGAAGCGGCAACAGCUCAAAUUUGAAAUCUGGCGUCUUUGGCGUCCGAGUUGUAAUUUGCAGAGGGCGCUUUGGCAUUGGCAGCGGUCCAAGUUCCUUGGAACAGGACGUCACAGAGGGUGAGAAUCCCGUACGUGGUCGCUAGCCUUUACCGUGUAAAGCCCCUUCGACGAGUCGAGUUGUUUGGGAAUGCAGCUCUAAAUGGGAGGUAAAUUUCUUCUAAAGCUAAAUACUGGCCAGAGACCGAUAGCGCACAAGUAGAGUGAUCGAAAGAUGAAAAGCACUUUGGAAAGAGAGUUAAAAAGCACGUGAAAUUGUUGAAAGGGAAGCGCUUGCAGCCAGACUUGCCUGUAGUUGCUCAUCCGGGUUUUUACCCGGUGCACUCUUCUACGGGCAGGCCAGCAUCAGUUUGGGCGGUUGGAUAAAGGUCUCUGUCAUGUACCUCCUCUCGGGGAGAUCUUAUAGGGGAGACGACAUGCAACCAGCCUGGACUGAGGUCCGCGCAUCUGCUAGGAUGCUGGCGUAAUGGCUGUAAGCGGCCCGUCUUGAAACACGGACCAAGGAGUCUAACAUCUAUGCGAGUGUUUGGGUGUCAAGCCCGAACGCGUAAUGAAAGUGAACGGAGGUGGGAACCUUUCGGGGUGCACCAUCGACCGAUCCUGAUGUCUUCGGAUGGAUUUGAGUAAGAGCAUAGCUGUUGGGACCCGAAAGAUGGUGAACUAUGCUUGAAUAGGGUGAAGCCAGAGGAAACUCUGGUGGAGGCUCGCAGCGGUUCUGACGUGCAAAUCGAUCGUCAAAUUUGGGCAUAGGGGCGAAAGACUAAUCGAACUAUCUAGUAGCUGGUUCCUGCCGAAGUUUCCCUCAGGAUAGCAGUAACGUUUUCAGUUUUAUGAGGUAAAGCGAAUGAUUAGAGGCCUGGGGGUUGAAACAACCUU
rnacentral:rRNA from 1 species